rnacentral:rRNA from 1 species
CCUACGGGAGGCAGCAGUGAGGAAUAUUGGUCAAUGGCCGGAAAGCUGAACCAGCCAUGCCGCGUGAAGGUCAGUGCCCUAUGGGCGUUAAACUUCUUUUGUGCGGGAGCAAUAAUGGUCACGUGUGGCCAGACGAGAGUACCGUACGAAUAAGCAUCGGCUAACUCCAUGCCAGCAGCCGCGGUAAUACGGGGGAUGCAAGCGUUAUCCGGAUUUAUUGGGUUUAAAGGGUGCGUAGGCUGUGAGGUAAGUCAGCGGGGAAAUGCCCCCGCUCAACGGGGUGAAGUGCCAUUGAUACUGCCUUGCUGGAAUGCGGAUGCCGUGGGAGGAAUGUGUGGUGUAGCGGUGAAAUGCAUAGAUAUCACACAGAACACCGAUUGCGAAGGCAUCUCACGAAUCCGCGAUUGACGCUGAUGCACGAAAGCGUGGGUAUCAAACAGGAUUAGAUACCCGGGUAGUC